rnacentral:rRNA from 1 species
UACGUAUGGGGCAAGCGUUAUCCGGAUUUACUGGGUGUAAAGGGAGCGUAGGCGGCGGGGCAAGCCUGAUGUGAAAGCCCGGGGCUCAACCCCGGGACUGCAUUGGGAACUGCCCUGCUGGAGUGCCGGAGGGGCAGGCGGAAUUCCUAGUGUAGCGGUGAAAUGCGUAGAUAUUAGGAGGAACACCAGUGGCGAAGGCGGCCUGCUGGACGGUGACUGACGCUGAGGCUCGGAAGCGUGGGGAGCAAACAGG